UACGUAGGGUGCGAGCGUUAAUCGGAAUUACUGGGCGUAAAGCGUGCGCAGGCGGUUCGUUGUGUCCGUCGUGAAAGCCCCGGGCUUAACCUGGGAACUGCGAUGGAAACUAGCGAGCUGGAGUGUGGCAGAGGGGGGUGGAAUUCCGCGUGUAGCGGUGAAAUGCGUAGAGAUGUGGAGGAACACCGAUGGCGAAGGCAGCCUCCUGGGCCAACACUGACGCUCAUGCACGAAAGCGUGGGGAGCAAACAGG
rnacentral:rRNA from 1 species